AUUGAAAAGAGAAAUGCAUGAUUUGAUUCCUUGCCCUCAUGAAGCCAUACUUAUUAAUCUGACUGGUGUAACAUUAAACAUACUAUAUUACUGCUGCAGUUAAAGCAACUAUCAGUGGAAGUGCCACAUGUUCUAUUUUCUUCACAAACAGUUGUAGUUUGCCGGUAUUUUGAGGUUCUAAUCAGCUGGAGGAAUGUGGAGUUUAUCUGAUUGUGCAUUUGGUGGUCCUUUAUCACCAGCAUUAGUGCUUUAGUCAUAAGUGAUUGUAUCUUAUUCGUUUAUGCGUUGAUUUUUUUGAUGGCAAACUUGUUUUUAUUGUUGACCAGUGACAAGUUGUCAUCUUAAAAAGCUUAACCUUCUUCAUGAGAUUUUAUUGUAAAAUGAUGUAAGAUCAACAGUUAAGGAUUUUAGGAUAAAAUUUGUAGGUGUGGGCGGUAUUUGGUGUUUUGAGUUAAUAUACUGUUGCUUUUUUUUUAUUAUUUAAAGAUAUGAAAUUCAUAAAACAAUAUAUGAUCUUUGAUUCUUGAGUUAGUUGUAUUAUUCUUGCCUCAUAUCUUGCUGGAUUAUUUAAGCCUCUUUGAGGUCAUCCUUACUGAGCUUUUUUAUGUGAUACAAUGUUAA
rnacentral:misc_RNA from 1 species